AGGACUAACGCUGGCGGCGUGCCUAACACAUGCAAGUCGAACGAGAGUAGCAAUACUCUAGUGGCAGACGGGUGAGUAACACGUGGUCAACCUACCUCUAUGUGGGGGAUAACUAGCCGAAAGGUUAGCUAAUACCGCAUACGAUCGUCGAGCGGCAUCGCUUGACGAUGAAAGGAGCAAUCCGCAGAGAGACGGGACCGCGUCCCAUUAGCUAGUUGGUGGGGUAAUGGCCUACCAAGGCGACGAUGGGUAGCUGGCUUGAGAGAGCGACCAGCCACACUGGGACUGAGACACGGCCCAGACUCCUACGGGAGGCAGCAGUGAGGAAUUUUCCGCAAUGGGCGAAAGCCUGACGGAGCGACGCCGCGUGUGGGAAGAAGGCCUUCGGGUCGUAACCACUGUCGAAGGGGAAGAGUAUUGACGGUACCCUUGGAGGAAGCCCCGGCUAACGUACGUGCCAGCAGCCGC
rnacentral:rRNA from 1 species